rnacentral:rRNA from 1 species
CGGUCGGAUAAGUCUUGUGUGAAAUCUUCGGGCUCAACUCGAAGUCUGCACUAGAUACUGUCCGGCUUGAGUGUGGGAGAGGUGAGUGGAAUUCCUGGUGUAGCGGUGAAAUGCGUAGAUAUCAGGAGGAACACCUGUGGCGAAAGCGGCUCACUGGACCACAACUGACGCUGAGGAGCGAAAGCUAGGGGAGCAAACAGGAUUAGAUACCCUGGUAGUCCUAGCCCUAAACGAUGAUUGCUUGGUGUGACGGGUACCCCAUCCCUCCGUGCCGCACCUAACGCGUUAAGCCAUCCGCCUGGGGAAUACCGUCGCCAGGGUGAAACUCAAAAGAAUUGACGGGGGCCCGCACCAGCCGUGGAACAUGUGGUUUAAUUCCACUCCACGCCAAAAACCUUACCUGGGCUCUAAAUGUACCGCAAUCCUGUAGAAGUAUCGACGCCCAUCAAUGGGCCGCUAUAUAGGUGCUGCAUGGCUGUCGUCACCUCGUGUCAUGAGAUGUUGGGUUAACUCCCGCAACGAGCGCAACCCUUGUUACCUGUU